ACUGGGUGCAGCUGCGAGGGAAGCAAAGGAACUAAAGCUGAACUGAGAGAAAGGAAGAAAAUUCACAGAGAAACAGAGAGCAGAUUAUAAAUCCCAAAACAAAGACCAAGCAAUAAAAAAGACAUUUUAUGGCUUUCUUCAAACAACAUUUUUAUUUUUGCCACUCUUCCAGAAUGGCCUCAUGCGGUUGUCUUGCCAACAGAUUCCUCCACCUGAGCUGUGAAUCGCUGCAGCUCCUCCAGAUCUCCAUCUUAGAAAGGCUCUCCUUGCUCAGCCCGUCAGUCAUGAUGAACAUCUUGUGUUCACACAGCAGGUAAAUGUCAUCCACAUUGGACUUUUUCACCACAGUCUGAACGACCCAAUUCCGAUCUGUUCCACUUCCAUGUAUGGAAGUAAUUUGGAUUUGUAUCCCAGAGUUUCCUGACUGGUCCUGAAGACAAACUGCCCUGAAUGUUUUCCAUGUUUGAAAAGGAAACGGUUGGGAAACGUGUAUCCCACAGUUUUCAAACGUCUGCAGUCUGAACAGUUAUGUCACAUUUUAUCCGACUUUUACAUCAUUGACGUGAAACAUGUGUCAUAAUUCUGCGCCAGAAAAAGGCAGAUGUGGUAAACCAGGAUGUAAACAACUGCUGAAAAUGAUAAUUAUGAAUUUAUGAACUGUCUGUGUCGUCCCAACCCCACCACUCAUCUCUGACUGCACAUCCAGACAGACUGCUCUACUCAAACCUACACACACAAAGAAAUGGGAUUUUAGCAAAGAAUCAGAAGCACCAGGUCCUGCUGUGUGAACGCAGCCUUCGUCUUCAUGAUGCUGGUUGUUCUUUAAGAAGCUCUGGGUCCAGAAACAGAACAGCUGCAUUUACUCCGAGCUUAAAUUACACACAGUCAGCCUCCACAUGCUAACUGGUUGCACUGGACUUUAAGGACAUCAAUUUAAAGAGGUUGACUGCAAGAGGAAAUCACACUAUACUUUUCUUCUGUUUGUUGAAAAUGUGUUAAAGUGCUUUGAAAUUUAUGGUUCUAAGCUGAAUAAAUGUGAAAAUGUUUA